rnacentral:rRNA from 1 species
AUACGGAGGGGACAAGCGUUGUUCGGAAUCAUUGGGCGUAAAGCGGGUGUAGGCGGCUUGGCAAGUCGGGUGUGAAAUCCCUGGGCUCAACCCAGGAACUGCACUCGAAACUGCCUCGCUAGAGUCCCGGAGAGGGUGGCGGAAUUCCCGGUGUAGAGGUGAAAUUCGUAGAUAUCGGGAGGAACACCAGUGGCGAAGGCGGCCACCUGGACGGUGACUGACGCUCAGACCCGAAAGCGUGGGGAGCAAACAGGAUUAGAAACCCGGGUAGUCC